UAGAGGUAGAGGUUGCGUGUUUUAUGAGUAGUUUUUUGGAUGUGGCAGGCACAUGGGAAGAAAAAUGAAAGGAAAAAACGCCGAAAGGGUUCGUGUUCCUGAAAGCGGAUUCUUGGGCAUGCAGUUAAGAGCUGUAUGACUGUCAUCAGAAAUGAUGGGGCGCUAUCCGAU
rnacentral:ncRNA from 1 species